rnacentral:rRNA from 1 species
CGGACGAACGCUGGCGGCGUGGAUUAGGCAUGCAAGUCGGACGGUAGGGCUUUAUCGUAAGAUAGAGUUUGAGAGUGGCGAACGGGUGAGUAACACGUAGGAAUCUACCCUUAAGACGGGGACAACCCAGGGAAACUUGGGCUAAUACCGGAUGUGAGCAACUUUUAGUUGUUUGAAAGGUGGCGUAAGCUGUCGCUUGGGGAUGAGCCUGCGUCCUAUUAGUUAGUUGGUGAGGUAACGGCUCACCUAGGCAAUGAUAGGUAGGCGGCCUUAACGGGUGGUCGCCCACACUGGGAUUGAGAUACGGCCCAGACUCCUACGGGAGGCAGCAGUCGAGAAUAGUCUACAAUGGUCGGAAGACUGAUAGUGCGACGCCGCGUGAACGAUGAAUCCCUUCGGGGUGUAAAGUUCUUUUAUAUGUGAGCAGUGCUUCUUAUAUUAACAGUAUGGGGAGAGAGAUAUUAGCAUAUGAAUAAGCAACGGCUAACUCCGUG